GAUGAACGCUGGCGGCGUGCCUAAUACAUGCAAGUCGAGCGAACAGACGAGGAGCUUGCUCCUCUGACGUUAGCGGCGGACGGGUGAGUAACACGUGGAUAACCUACCUAUAAGACUGGGAUAACUUCGGGAAACCGGAGCUAAUACCGGAUAAUAUAUUGAACCGCAUAGUUCAAUAGUGAAAGACGGUUUUGCUGUCACUUAUAGAUGGAUCCGCGCCGCAUUAGCUAGUUGGUAAGGUAACGGCUUACCAAGGCAACGAUGCGUAGCCGACCUGAGAGGGUGAUCGGCCACACUGGAACUGAGACACGGUCCAGACUCCUACGGGAGGCAGCAGUAGGGAAUCUUCCGCAAUGGGCGAAAGCCUGACGGAGCAACGCCGCGUGAGUGAUGAAGGUCUUCGGAUCGUAAAACUCUGUUAUUAGGGAAGAACAAAUGUGUAAGUAACUAUGCACGCCUUGACGGUACCUAAUCAGAAAGCCACGGCUAACUACGUG
rnacentral:rRNA from 1 species